GCCUUCGUGGUGUAGUGGUCAGCACGCUCGGCGCGUAUUCGAGAGGUCAGUGGUUCGAGUCUCGGCGAGGGCA
rfam:Stegodyphus mimosarum contig43664, whole genome shotgun sequence.